rnacentral:rRNA from 1 species
UACGUAGGGUGCGAGCGUUGUCCGGAAUUAUUGGGCGUAAAGAGCUCGUAGGCGGUUUGUCGCGUCUGCCGUGAAAGUCCUGGGCUCAACUCCGGAUCUGCGGUGGGUACGGGCAGACUAGAGUGAUGUAGGGGAGACUGGAAUUCCUGGUGUAGCGGUGAAAUGCGCAGAUAUCAGGAGGAACACCGAUGGCGAAGGCAGGUCUCUGGGCAUUAACUGACGCUGAGGAGCGAAAGCACGGGGAGCGAACAGG